GCAAGUCGAACGGUAACAGGCAAGAGCUUGCUUUUGCGCUGACGAGUGGCGGANGGGNGAGUAACGCGUGGGAAUCUACCUAAUAGCGGGGGACAACCCGGGGAAACUCGGGCUAAUACCGCAUACGCCCUUAGGGGGAAAGGCUUCGGCCACUAUUAGAUGAGCCCGCGUCCGAUUAGCUUGUUGGUGAGGUAACGGCUCACCAAGGCUGCGAUCGGUAGCUGGUCUGAGAGGACGAUCAGCCACACUGGGACUGAGACACGGCCCAGACUCCUACGGGAGGCAGCAGUGGGGAAUAUUGGACAAUGGGCGAAAGCCUGAUCCAGCAAUGCCGCGUGUGUGAAGAAGGCCUGCGGGUUGUAAAGCACUUUCGAUAGGGAAGAUUAUGACGGUACCUAUAGAAGAAGCACCGGCUAACUCCGUGCCAGCAGCCGCGGUAAUACGGAGGGUGCNAGCGUUAAUCGGAAUUACUGG
rnacentral:rRNA from 1 species